UAUGAACAUGUGAGGUCCAGGCUGCGAUGGCAGCCAAGUUAACUUUCAACAAAGCAAAUGAUAGCCCCGAUUUUUAAAGAACUGACAGGUAAGAAAGUAUAAACUCAAUGGAGGCUUUCUUGGGGGAGAUGUUCUUAGUAGCAGCAAAGGUAGUAAAGCGUCUCCACUUUGCCUUGUAGGACAAACGUGGAGAUGGUUUCCUGGACACCCUGAGGACCUUCAAGAGUUUGUGGUCCUGCAUCUUGUUGGACAAAUGCGGCAGGCUGUCAGAUGGAGACUUUUGACAUCUGGAUGGUGCACCGUUCCGUGUUCUUUGAUAAUCAAAUCAAUAAUUCAGAAACGUCAACAUGCCCAAGCGAAGCAGAAGACCUCUCUCAGAUCCAAACAGAGACAAUUUCAAGAAAAUAGCCAUCACUAGAGCAGUAGAAAAUGAUCGAACAUUCUUGAACUUUCCUAUGGAAAAGCCAGCCAAGAGCCCCUGACUUUGCCAGGAUCUGGGAACUCACUUUCAACACCCAAUUCAGCACUUGAACAUGCGGAGAUCAAAGCUGCUGUUAAUUCAGGAGAAGCUGUCCCAGGAUUAUGGAUCACAUUAACAUUAUCUGUUUUAUGUUUAAAAAAAAUUAUCCCAGGAUUCUCCUCAAGGGACUUCACAUCAAUCAAUAAAACCAUAAUUGAGCAACAGGAGAAGGUACACCACUGCUUUGUUUAUCAUGCAACAAUGGCCUGAUUUGGACAAUAUUUUGGGUCCGACCACAUGUGACAAAGAUGUAUGUGCACCAUAAGCACACACAUUCCCCUCCCUUCUGGUAUUUAUUAAUGUAAAUUAUAAAUGG